rnacentral:rRNA from 1 species
UACAGAGGUCUCAAGCGUUGUUCGGAUUCAUUGGGCGUAAAGGGUGCGCUAGGUGGCGCGGUAAGUCGGGUGUGAAAUCUCGGAGGCUUAACUCCGAAAUUGCAUUCGAUACUGCCGUGCUCGAGGACUGGAGAGGAGACUGGAAUUCAUGGUGUAGCAGUGAAAUGCGUAGAGAUCAUGAGGAAGACCAGUGGCGAAGGCGGGUCUCUGGACAGUUCCUGACACUGAGGCACGAAGGCCAGGGGAGCAAACGGG